GCUGCGGUGGUGGAAUUGGUAGACACGCUAGCUUGAGGGGCUAGUGGACGGUAAGUCCGUGGAGGUUCAAGUCCUCUUCGCAGCA
rnacentral:tRNA from 1 species